AUGCACUUGCACUCGGCGAAUCCCCGUGCUUGGCGAGUUGCUGACUCCAGGCACCAGACCUGCCUGCCGCCACUUGUCACUGAAGGUAAUUUGAGACUCGGUGAGGAAAAGAGACAUGCCUGCGGUCAUCCCAGGAAUGUGUUAUCUCAUGCCAUCCUCUCAACAACCUACAGUAUCAGGGAGCUAAAGCACGUGGAUGGGAUAACCUGCUCAGACUCUCACUCAGCUCAUGAGACAUGGAGCCUAGACCCAGAUCAAUGGCACCGUGACCUGAACCAGCCAGCCGCCCAAGUCACCAGGCUGAAACCACCGAGAGCUGGCAUGCCAAGGAUGUUUGCUGAGGAGGGGAACACAGAAAUAAAACCUGACUUUAAAAAAGAAACAUGCCCCAUAGCCUCAGACCCCUCCCUGGCCAAACGGAGCCACACCUGCUGCACCAGUCUGCUGAGGGCCACACCACGAGGCACGGAAAGCACAGGGCUGGCCAUUCUAGCACCGGAGCCGUGUGUGAAACCUGGCAGGGUGAGAAAUUGCAACUGGAGAGCAGCCACUCCAUGCUUCCUGUGCGCUCAUCAAGAAUCAAGCUCCAGGCACCUUCCUGGUGGUCCAGUGGUUAAGACUCUGCACUCCCAAUGCAGGGGCAUGGAUUCGACCCCUGGUCAGUGA
rnacentral:lncRNA from 1 species